rnacentral:lncRNA from 1 species
CAUUGAUGUAUAUUAAAUAAACAGAUGAAAGUAGGUGAUUCAUGAUAAAACUAAAUAGCUGGGAGAUAUUCAGAACUGAGUAGACAAAAUUGAAUUAUUGGAAGAAUUUCCUUAAAGUCCUGGGUCUUAAGGGCUUAUGUCUCUAUUCAUGGUGCUUUAUUAAUAGUGGUUUUAUUUUUCAAUUUAUUGAAUAAGGUUUUCUGUUCCUAGUUUUAGAGAUGUUCAAAAUUAGAACAUUUUUGAGUUUUUCUGUGUAAAAAAAUGAAACCUAAAUUACACUGUUCUUUUGUUUUCAACUUUUUAAAUACAAGUCUCUUUCAAAAGAUUUCUCACUUGAGUUUAACCUUUGAGAAACCGAAAUAGAUUCUGAAGGUAUAACUUUCACUUAGUAAAUAGUUUUUUACCUUAUUCUAGUG